GAUGAACGCUGGCGGCGUGCCUAAUACAUGCAAGUCGAGCGAACAGACGAGGAGCUUGCUCCUCUGACGUUAGCGGCGGACGGGUGAGUAACACGUGGAUAACCUACCUAUAAGACUGGGAUAACUUCGGGAAACCGGAGCUAAUACCGGAUAAUAUAUUGAACCGCAUGGUUCAUUAGUGAAAGACGGUUUUGCUGUCACUUAUAGAUGGAUCCGCGCCGCAUUAGCUAGUUGGUAAGUUAACGGCUUACCAAGGCAACGAUGCGUAGCCGACCUGAGAGGGUGAUCGGCCACACUGGAACUGAGACACGGUCCAGACUCCUACGGGAGGCAGCAGUAGGGAAUCUUCCGCAAUGGGCGAAAGCUUGACGGAGCAACGCCGCGUGAGUGAUGAAGGUCUUCGGAUCGUAAAACUCUGUUAUUAGGGAAGAACAAAUGUGUAAGUAACUAUGCACGUCCUGACGGUACCUAAUCAGAAAGCCACGGCUAACUACGUG
rnacentral:rRNA from 1 species